rnacentral:lncRNA from 1 species
GUUCAGUGAACUCAUUCUCUAUUGAGCACCUACGUACUUGUCUUGAUGUCACACACACCAAUGGCUCGAGACUAGUCACUCUCCCUGAGAGAAGACACAGCACGUACUGAUCUUAACGAACUGUCAAUGCCCAAUUGGCAAUCCUAUGAUCACGAAUGUUUAGGAUGUGUCUACGAAAGAAUGGUCUCAUGAAUCUAACUUCUUUAGAUUGCAUUCUCCCAAUCACAUAUUCCUUGGACUUAUCGUUUAAGCAUAUAACAUUUAUAUGAGACAGCUUAAACAAUAAUCUUUGCCCUUGAUAUUAAACUAGAUUAGUUUAACAUGUGAAAUGUCCGUAAAGUAUCAUCAUAUGAUUGGUUUUAGGGCACAUUUCCAACAUAUGAAUGCACAAUAAGGGAUCUCUAACCUUUCAUGAUGGAAGGAGAAUACUCUAAGAUAUGAUUCAUGAGUCUUUGGCCAAAGCAUAUGAAUAUGACUUAGGAAGUUUGUUCCAAAUCAUAUUCAAUUGAAUCAUAUAAAGAAGUAUCACAUUGGAUAGUAGAAAUGAAACAAACUAUCACUCAAACAAUGUGAUUAACAAUAUUGUAUUAGAGAAUGAUUGUAUUGCAUUGUAAUUGUAACUGGAUAGGUUCUCCAACCACUUCUACUUAGCUUGGGUAGCCAUGACAUACUGUUAGGUGUCACUCAUGGUUUGUGGAAGCCCUGAAGAUUAGCAAACACUAAUCUUCAACAAAGGAAGAAUUGAAAUGUUUUUUCAAUUCACAAUCGAUCGUUAAGAGUAACAAUCGCCUACUGCCUCGCUAAUUGGAACCAAAUGGAUCAUACACCGAGUAAGGAUGAAAGUGAAGAAAUAUAAAUGAGAUGGAUAAGUGAUUAAAUGGUUUAAUUGAGAAUGGUCAAGAUUAAUUAAUUAGUUAAUUAAUUUUACGAAAGGUUUGUAUUGGGCUUUUAAGUUGGUUUUGGGUUUCGGGGCCCAAAAGUGUUUUGGUCCACAAGGCCCAUUAUCUUUAAGUUGUAUGACAACUAAAACAAAAUGGGCAAUUAGCC